GGAUUGUGGCUCAGAGGAAGAGCACUUGCCCAGCAUGCGUGAGGCACUGGGUUCGAUCCUUAGCACCA
rnacentral:tRNA from 1 species